GAUGAACGCUGGCGGCGUGCCUAAUACAUGCAAGUCGAGCGAACGGACGAGAAGCUUGCUUCUCUGAUGUUAGCGGCGGACGGGUGAGUAACACGUGGAUAACCUACCUAUAAGACUGGGAUAACUUCGGGAAACCGGAGCUAAUACCGGAUGAUAUUUUGAACCGCAUGGUUCAAAAGUGAAAGACGGUCUUGCUGUCACUUAUAGAUGGAUCCGCGCUGCAUUAGCUAGUUGGUAAGGUAACGGCUUACCAAGGCAACGAUGCAUAGCCGACCUGAGAGGGUGAUCGGCCACACGGGAACUGAGACACGGUCCAGACUCCUACGGGAGGCAGCAGUAGGGAAUCUUCCGCAAUGGGCGAAAGCCUGACGGAGCAACGCCGCGUGAGUGAUGAAGGUCUUCGGAUCGUAAAACUCUGUUAUUAGGGAAGAACAUAUGUGUAAGUAACUGUGCACAUCUUGACGGUACCUAAUCAGAAAGCCACGGCUAACUCCGUG
rnacentral:rRNA from 1 species